rnacentral:rRNA from 1 species
AGAGUUUGAUCAUGGCUCAGAGCGAACGCUGGCGGCAGGCUUAACACAUGCAAGUCGAGCGCCCCGCAAGGGGAGCGGCAGACGGGAGAGUAACACGUGGGAACAUACCUUUUGGUUCGGAACAACUGAGGGAAACUUCAGCUAAUACCGGAUAAGCCCUUACGGGGAAAGAUUUAUCGCCGAAAGAUUGGCCCGCGUCUGAUUAGCUAGUUGGUGAGGUAACGGCUCACCAAGGCGACGAUCAGUAGCUGGUCUGAGAGGAUGAUCAGCCUCACUGGGACUGAGACACGGCCCAGACUCCUACGGGAGGCAGCAGUGGGGAAUAUUGGACAAUGGGGGCAACCCUGAUCCAGCCAUGCCGCGUGAGUGAUGAAGGCCUUAGGGUUGUAAAGCUCUUUUAACGGGGAAGAUAAUGACGGUACCCGUAGAAUAAGCCCGGCCAACUUCGUGCCAGCAGCCGCGGUA